UGUGAAAAGCCAAACCCCUCGACCGAAUCACAACUGUGACCAGACCGACACGAUUUCGUGAAGUUUAGAUAUAAAAAAGCGGGAUUGGAAACAGUCGAUGGCUAGGGUUAAACUGAUUUUGUAACAAAUCACCUGAUCGAAUUUCCAUUCCACUCCAAUGGCAUUGAGAUCGGUCGCUGGAUUGAGUCGGAUAAUGGAGGGAAACCUGCGAUCGUCUACUUACAGCCUUCGCUACUUCAGCGAUGGCAAAGGUCGUAUCCUCAGUGAAGAAGAGCGUGCUAAAGAAACCGUUUACGUUCAGAAAAUGGAGAGGGAAAGAUUGGAGAAGUUGAAGAAGAAAGCGGAGCUGGAGAAAGCUGAGAAGGACAAAUCCGAUAAGGCUUCCGAAGACGCCAAUAAGAGGUGAAAUGGCUGUCAGUUCUUGAGGACUAGCAUUUCUCCUGGUUUGUUGCCCUAAGACAAUAAUAAACGUGUUAGUUCGCUUGGAUCUUGUCGAGGCUAUCUCCCGUGUACUCAACUUAAGUGACUAGUUGGUACUAGUUCAUGGACAUCUGCUACAUAGUCUUGUUCCAAUGUGGUUGUAUAUUUCGUGACUAAGUUUCUUACGACUUCUUUUCAAAUAUUAUGUCUCACAAUUUGCAAGAAAGUCAUUUUUGUGUUUCCUAUCAUAUUUUCCCAUAAUAUGUUUCAACAACAACAUCUAGUUUCAUGAGUGGUGUUUUAUUGCACUUGAAGAAAUAAAGCAUCAAAUGGGAAACUGCUGCAAAACAAAGGAUCCAGACUACAGGUGUGGGAUCCUCGAAAAAUGAAUGGAUGUUGUGGGAUCCUCCUUGGCGGAGGCCGACCAUAGCCAAACUGGGGCGGCUGUUGCCCGUACCACCCACCAUGCGCUCCUGGGUACCCUCCAUGUGCCCCCGGGUGCUGGUAAGAGCCUCCACCAUAAGGGGGGCCGUGGAACGGCAAAUCGCCCAUGCCAAAGAAUGCGGCGGAACUCUCUGGUGGCACCCGAUCAACAAUCAGGCGGCCUUUUGGGUGGGUUUUGCAAAAGAAAUCUCUGCAUACUUUGGGAUCAAUUGCGGGGGGAACAUAGGCCUCGCAUCUGUGCUCUUCUUUUUCUUCAACCCUUUUCUGGCUGUUGUGGCGUUGGUCUCUGCAGCAGCAAGAAUUCUUGUGUUCUUUUUCUUUUUGGAAUUCGCGGUCUCUGCCUUCAUUUCUGUGGUGGCUGUGUUUCUUCUUAUCAGCAUGGUUCCUGGGUUGCUUGUCAGUUGAUAAAAGUUGAACUGGUUUGCCUAGCUUCGCUACGUUGGUCAACAACGUCGCGUCGUCGAUUUCGCCAGCGACGUAUACAAGGUUGGCUUCUGUAUCUAUUGCAACUGAGUCCACCCCUUGAAUUCGGCGAAAGGAAAAUGAAGAGGGUUAGAUAAGGAAAUUGGAUAUGCUUGUUGCAGGCAUAUUCUCCCUCCCUCUCACUCACUAACUCUCUCUCUCUCAAGAAAUCAGUUAGGUAAUUUGAAUCCACGAUCUAUCUGUUAGAGACGAAGCGUCCCGAUCUAUUUGUUGGAGGAAAAACAUCUCAAAAUAAGCAAAAUCAGAAUGGCAGUUUUCAC